UGUGUGUGUGCGUGUGCGCAUGCGCGCGUGCGUACCUGAGUCACUCAGGUGCCUCAGCCCUUUUUAUUUUACAGCUUAGAUAUAAAGUUCACAAAACAUCAGUAGUGACAGAGAUUACAUAAGCGUCCCUGUAGGUUACUAUUUUGUCCCUCUCCUGUGUAUUGACCAUGGAUUGUCAAGACAUAGUAAUCUUGUCAAGACAGUAUUGUGUCUCUAACUGGGGAUUGACCUUGAACUUCUGCAAGUUUCUAGGUAGACUUGAUAGGCCUCAUAAAUUUGAUGGGAUUUUGCAGCUGUUCAAAUAAUACAUGUAUUCGUAACACAGUUUUUACCAUGAAUUUUUAUAGAGUCGAAUCAAGAGAUGAUGGAGGGCCUUACAUCCAGAAAUAUCCCAAAUUAAAUACUAUGUCAUGAAGAGCACUGGGUGAUAUUCCAUUUAAGAGAUUGUGGAGAACCUCGCGUGGUACUGAAGGCAAAGUUUUGCUUGCAUUUCAGUACAAGACAAUGGUGUUUAUACCAAAGCUAGCGCUCCUGAGAUUCUGCAGAUUUCCAGGUAGACGGUGUUGUUCUUAAGCCAACAUAGUGGCCAUGUUUGUUUGUGUCCAGGUAAGAGUUGAUGGUGGGAUUUUGCAGUAGUUCAAGCAAGAGAUAACAUCCCCCUACCAUGAUCUUGACCCCUGCCACAUUUCUAGGUAUUCAGCAACAUCCAAGGCGGAAAACAAAUCGAAGCAUUUCCAUUCACUCACAUGAAUAAUUAGUUGCUCAAGACCGCUCCAGGCAGAGGACUCCACCCAGCCAGCCAGCUGCUGACUCUAUCAUUAUCUGAGGCACCACCUUGCCUGGCGCCCAAGUCGAGUCCCGUUAGGACCUCCGUCAUCCCUGUCACUGGUAGGCUUAGGCAAGAGGAGACUUAUGGAGUUAGCUUUGCCCUCAAGCCACAGAAAGGUCUCGAGGAAACUGAAGUCCUGGGGUCUCUGCCUCACAGUCCUUCACCUGAAAGAGGAUUUAACGCACCUUCAGAACUUGAGUGAUGUUCGGAAAAUGAAGUGUUUUGUGAUGCUCCAUAAAACGAACCCCCCGGAAAUGCUUUAAGUGAAGUCUGGCUACUAUAAACUGUAUGUCAAAAGGCUCUUGAUAGCAUCUCGGUCUGGGUCCACCAAGAAGCAAAAGGCAAGAUGCAAUGAGGAGUGAGGGGUGCCUGUCAGUACCGGGGGCUGUUCCUGUGCAGGAUGAAGGCAAGGACACAGGGACAGGCAGGGUCCCUGCAAAGCAGGAGACGGCUGUCUCAGGAGAAGGUCAGAGGCCAAGAAUGACAGCAGCCCAGUCAACCCCGGCCUGAAGCCCAGCACCCCACCUAACCGACCUGCAGACCCAAGAGUGCGAAAAUGUUGUAGUUACAAGCCAUUGAGAUGUGUCGCCUUUACAGAGGAAAUAAUUGAUCCUGCCUGGGAGAGAUGGCCAAGGCUUCAUGGAGGAAGGAACAUUUAAGCAGAGUAUUCUUUAUAAUUACACUUUUGAAAAGAGAAAUCUUUUAUGUCUUCAUUGGCAAAAAUUUGGAAAGCAUCGAAAGCAUUAAAUGUAAAAUCAAAGAUGUUAUAUCCAAUUGUUCUUCAUUAGAAUCCUGUUCCACACAUACUCUGCCUUUAUGUGCUCUGAAACUUUGCCUUUUUCCCUCCUGUCUUAUCAGCAAUCUUCAUUCUUACACAUGAUCAAAUAUUCUUUGAAGACGGAGCUUGUUGUGGUUGCAUAAUAUUCAUUUCAGCGAUUAACUGGACCUGCAAAGACAAGUCGAAGCACACCAGAAGGACAUUCUUUUGUUCAUCUGGUUUAAAUUAUUUAUGGAGUAUUUACACUGUGCCAGGCCCUGUUCAAGUCACUAGAAAAACAAUUGUUACAAAGUAGACAAAAUCCCAAUGUCGCCCCACAGGUAACCAAUAAGUUGUGGUAUAUUGACACAAUGGAAUACUCCUUAGCAAUACGGAAGAACUAACCACUGAUACAUAGAACGACAUGGAUGAACCUCAAAAACGUUACACCAAGUGAAAGAAGCCAGACACUAAACACUAUAUACAAUGACUGCAUUCUUAUAAAACUCUAGAUAAUUCAAACAAAUCUUUAGAGACAGGAAGAAGACUAGCAGUUGUGGGAAGCAAGAGGUGCAGGGAGGGAAGACAAGAAUUAUAAGGGGCAUGAGAAACCUUUUGGGGAUGAUGAGUAAGUUCGUUGCCUUGAUUAUGGCAUGAUUAUACCUCGAUAAAUCUAUUUUUUAUUUUUUAAUGUUUAUUU